rnacentral:lncRNA from 10 species
GUAAUGGUCUCAAGACUGCGGAGCAUGUUCACGCACAGCAUGGACACCACUUCAUGUAGGGGCACUGGACUGCCUAGAGUUGGAGGAAGGGACCCUGUUCUCACAUCGCUUUCCUGUUUCCCUCUCCUGCAAUAUGGAUUUGACAUAUUAAUCAUUACAGCAACUGCUAAAAUUCCACUGUGCUUCAUUAAUCCGGAGGAAAAUACCAUGUCAGCUGGAACUUACUGUGUCUCUGUUUGAUUGAGCCUGGGCAUGAGAUAAAACACGAGGUCAUCUGCAAUGGCACUGGUGCUGUGGCUGUAUCAGCAUGGCUCUGAUGUCCCUUCGGGGCAGGCAACAGUUCAGGGAGGACUUACAAGCAAGCUCUGAUGGAGUCUCGCUCUGUCGCCCAGGCUGGAGUGCAGUGGUGUGAUCUCGGCUCACUGAACUUCCCCUCCCCAGUUCAAGCGAUUCUCCUGCCUCAGCCUCCCUAGUAGCUGGGAUUACAGGCCCCCACCACCAUGCCUGGCUAAUUUUUAAAUAUUUUUAGUGGAGAUGGGGUUUCACCAUGUUGGCCAGGAUGGUCUUGAGCUCCUGACCUCAAGGGAUCCACCCGCCUCGGCCUCCCAAAGCACUGGGAUUACAGGUAUAAGCCACCGCGUCCGGCCUACUCCCA